GACGAGCCUCACGAACGUUAUUCGGAAUUACUGGGCUUAAAGGGUGCGUAGGCGGUCGUGCAAGUCGGAUGUGAAAUCUCAGGGCUCAACCCUGAAACUGCAUUCGAUACUGCGUGGCUAGAGUGCUGGAGAGGAGACUGGAAUUUACGGUGUAGCAGUGAAAUGCGUAGAGAUCGGGAGGAACAUCUGUGGCGAAGGCGACUGCCUGGACCAGCACUGACACUGAGGCACGAAAGCGUGGGGAGCAAACAGG
rnacentral:rRNA from 1 species